GGUUGUGUAGUGUAGUGGUAAUCACUCCGGAUUUUGAUUCGUGCCAAUCGCCUUCCGGCAACCCCGGUUCGAACCCGGGCACGACCU